AUUUGGCUCUUUUUAUGUUUUUCUUAUCUAAUAGCUCUGGCUAGAACUUCCACUAUACUGUUGAAUAGCAGCAGUGAAAGUGGGUCUCCUUGUCUUGUGCCUUCUGAUUUUAAAGGGAAAUUCUUCAGUCUUUCACCAUUGAGUAUGAUAAUAGCUACGGGUUUUUCAUAAAUAAUCUUUAUCAUAUUGAGGAACUUUUCCUCUAUUUUUAGUCUUCUAAAAUAUUUUAUCAUAAAAGGAUGUUCAAUUUUGUCAAUGAAUUUUCUGCAUUAAUUGAGAUGAUCAUGUAGGGUUUUUUUCUUUCAUUCUAUUAAUAUGUUGUAUUAUAUCGAUGUUGUGUUCAACCACCCUUUUGUUUCUGAUAUAGACCCCACUUGCUUAUGGUGAAUCAUCCUUUUAAUAUGCUAUUGUAUUUGAUCCGCUAAUAUUUUGUUUUGAGGAUUUUUGCAUCUAUGUUCAUAAGGGAUACUGGCCUGAAAUUUUCUUUCAUGUGAUGUUCUUAUCUGACUUUGGAAUCAUGGUACUACUGGCUUCCCAGAGUAAGUUAUAAGGUGUUCUCUCUUAAAUUUUUUGUAAAGGUUUGAGGAUUGGUGUUAAUUCUUCUUUAAGUGUUUGGUAGAGGGGCGCCUGGCUGGCUCAGCUGGAGGAGCAACUUGAUCUUGGGGUUGUGGAUUUGAGCCCCACAUAGAGAUUACCAAAAAAAAAAAAGCUUAAAAAACAAUAAAUGUUUGAUAGUGUUUGCCAAUGAAGCCAUCUGGUUUAGGGCUUGUUUUUGUUGGGAUGCUUUUAAUUAGUGAUUUAAUCUCUUGUUAUAGGUCUGUUGAGAUUUUCUAUUUCUUCUUGAGUCAGUUAAGGUUAUUUGUAUUUCAAGGAAUUUGUCCAUUUCUUCUAGGUUAUCUAAUUUGUUGAUGUACAAUUAUUGAUAGUGUUGACAUAAAAUUAUUAAAAUGCCCUUUUAUAAUCCUUUCUAUCUCUGUAAGGUCAGUAGCUAUGUCUCCACUUCCAUUUCUGAUUUUCAUUAUGUGUAUCUUCUCUCCUUCUUUUCUUAGUGAAUCUAGCUAAAGUUUUUUCAAUUUUGUUGAACUUUUCAAAUAACCACUUUUGGUUUCACUGAUUUUCUCUAUUCUCUAUUUAUCUCUGCUCUAAUCUUUAUGCUUUCUUUCUGCUAGCUUUGGGUUUAGCUUGUUCUUCUUUUCUAAUUCCUUACUGUGUAAACUUAGGUAAUUGACUUGAGAUAUUCUUUUUUAACAUAAACAUUUAUAACUAUAAUUUUACCUCUGAACACUGCUUUCACUAUAUACCAUGAUUUUUGGUAUGUUGGUUUUAAUUUUCAUUCAUCACAAGGUAUUUUGUAAUUUCUGUUAUGAUUUAUUCUUUCAAGAAGAAAGCUUUAGGAAGCUUGCAUGUGGAUUCUUUCAGACUUCUUGUGUAUCUUUUUCCCUUAUGAUCUGGCUAUGUAUCCUUAGUACACCACUGUAAUAAAUCUUGGAGUACAACCGUAUGCCAAGUCCCAUUAGUUCUUCUAGGGACUCUCUGAAUGUUAGGGUGGUCUUGGAGCUUCCCCAUAGGUUGAUGAGGAUUAGAUUGCUUAAUACAUGUAAAGCAUCUAGCAUCUUGGCUCAUGGUAAAUUCUCAAAAUAAGAAUAGUGAUGUUCAGGGGCACCUGGGUGGCUCAGUUGGUUAAGCGGCCGACUUCGGCUCAGGUCAUGAUCUCGCAGUCCGUGAGUUCAAGCCCCGCGUCGGGCACUGUGCUGACAGCUCAGAGCCUGGAGCCUGUUUCAGAUUCUGUGUCUCCCUCUCUCUGACCCUCCCCCGUUCAUGCUCUGUCUCUCUCUGUCUCAAAAAUAAAUAAACAUUAAAAAAAAAAAAAAAGAAUAGUGAUGUUUAUAGUCACAAUGGGGAUGACCAGUACAGAGACAUGAACAGGAUAGGUGCUCAAGGUCAAUCAAUCCAAUUCCCAUCCUAUCCCUCCAUCUUCUCCCACUAUAUUCCCUCAUCUAAGUCUCUUAGCAAAUGCACAGCCCAAUAUCUUUAUAAUGGCAUCUCACUGCUGGCAAGUACCUCAAGUUUAGCUUCCUGUUUUACACAGCAUAAUAGUAAGGCCCAGAGAGGUAAACUGAAAUGUCCUGGGUCAUGUCAUGAGUUGGUGACAAAGUUGUAACAAGAACCCAAGUUUGCCCUUUAAGUCCCUCAUUGACUUCACUGACACUUGGUAUAUGUGAUACAGACUAGGAGUAAAAUAAUUAACCUGGGGCCAGGCUGUCAAGAACCCAGCUGCUGUGGAGGUAUUUCCUUCUCUUCCUAGAAAAAUAAGAAACCUUGAAAGCUAGGAAUUAAGAGAAGCCAUAAACAAGUUCAGCCCAAAAUCAAAUGAGACUACUAUUUGAUCUAAAGGCAGAGUGAAACAAUUUCCCCCCUGCAUCUCCAUUUCUACAGUACUGUUGUUGACUUCUGGGGGUGAGGUAGUGGGCAGGAAGCAGGAGGCACCGAGGGAGCAGUGAAUACCAUCAAGCAUUGGAACAAAGGGCAAACAAGAGGCAGAGAAUAGCCAGUACAGCUGCACUAAAUAAAGAACACCCCAAAAAGAAUCCCAAUAUAGAAACCACAGCAGGUGAACGGAACCCUCCAAUGGGUGCACGAUUGCUCAAAAUUCUGGGCCAUAUAUGGAACGAAAAGACAUGAGACCAGACUGGACCAGAGACCCUCUCGAGCGCUGUCUAGAGGUCUCAAACCACAGCCCACCACCCCUGCCCACCACGGAAUGGGCAAACGAGGUGUGCAAGAAAGGAGCACAAAAAAAAAUGUUGAAGGACAGCGGAAACAAUGCUCCUGCCAGGUCUCCGGGGUGAGAAGUCUCAGGAAUACGGACCCACGUGGCGGCUACGCUCAGCGAGCUCGUCGGUGGCAGUGAAGGAGGCAGCCCUUGUCCGCACGCCUUCCCCCAGCCCCACGCCCUUACUGACCAGCUCCGCAGACGAACUGACAGCCACACAGCACCUCUACGUGAAGCCCAGCCGACGGACGGACAGAGAGCGCCUCCGCGCGGAGGACUGCCCACACACCACCCUACAGACUCCGUCGCAGAGACUGCCAGGGCGGAAGUGCGUCACUGCCCCUCCCGCGCUUGGGCCCGCGCCCGCUCUAGCACGCCCGGAGGCCAUCUCUGCGUGUCCUUGGUCCUUCCAGGGCUCUGAGUUCACCUGUGUAACUCUCUGUCCCACCCUCCAGCGGAGCUGCGACCCUAUUUGGGAAUGACAGGUACUAAAGGUAUUUGGCGACCGCUCCGUGCAGGGAGACCACCGGAUGAUACACUCUGCCAGCACCAAAUACCUCAUGGGGGAUGGCUUGAGGACAGGGUCUCAACAAAACCAUGCUGGACAGACUGUCCUUGGUUAUACUGGGGCCCACGGGCCAGAGUCUGGAUGCUGGUUGCUUCCACUUCUGCUACAAUGUGUUGUUCAAGGCCGGCUACCUGAGCUUAUUUGGCUGUACGAAGAACCAGGAGCAGGACCUGCUACAGGCAGAGGAGUUAUUUGUCCAGUUCCGCAAGUUUGAUCUCUUGUUCCCCAGGUUUGUUUAUUCCUUGCUAGGGCCCUGGGAGUGGCUAGAAGUGGCCCGGCUCCAGUGGCUCUUCCACAGGAUGCUCUCUGUGAACCACCACCUGGAGAAGAAUGGCAUAAGCAACUGGAACUCCUACAUGCUUCAGUUUCUGAGAGAGCAGCAGGGGCCAUAUCUGUCUCAUUCAAAGUUGGUUAUAGCAGAAUUUCUGGCAGUAGGUGCCAAGUAAAUAUCUGUUGAAUGGAUAUAUGGGACUGUUCCAAGGAGGGAGGGAAUGAAAUGAAUCAAGGUAAGAAUGAGUGUAACAUGGUGCUGCCAUCCAUUAAAAAUUGGGGAACAAUGUUUAGCUUAUGCAUGUUGGCCCACAGACAAUUUCUGACUGCAGAUUCAGGCUGGGGAGAGUGGAUGAUUCUGAGUACUUGCUGUGGUUUCCCUAAGCAAUCAGAGAGGACUUCAUGGAGGCAGAGUGUGGACAUUUCCAGCUACCUGCAGAGAGGAACGGCACAAGGCAAAGGGAACUCAAGAGGUCAUGUGGAAAUCAGAGGAGAUAAAGUCCCUGUUUGCCAAUCAAUUAGGAAGUUAAAGAGUAACCCGAGGUCGCUAGAACUGGUUGAAUUGAGUCUGAACCUCACCUUAUUGCAACAAUGGCCUUAGAGUCAAUGGCAGAACUUUCUCCUUCCUGGGCCUGCUGGCAGGGACCUAGCCUGACACCUCACAGAAGGCCCCCAGUAAAUGGUCAGCUCACCUCACCCAAGCCAGGACAGCAGUGAGAGAAAGUUCCCACUAUACUCUGAGACUACACCCUUAUCAUGAAAUAAAGUGAUUGGUUUGAA